UAGGGAAUAUUGGACAAUGGGCGCAAGCCUGAUCCAGCCACCCCGCGUGAAGGAUUAAGGUCCUAUGGAUUGUAAACUUCUUUUCUCUGGGAAUAAAAACCGGUAUUUAUACUGGCUUGAAGGUACCAGAGGAAUAAGCACCGGCUAACUCCGUGCCAGCAGCCGCGGUAAUACGGAGGGUGCAAGCGUUAUCCGGAUUCACUGGGUUUAAAGGGUGCGUAGGUGGCUUUGUAAGUCAGUGGUGAAAGCCCGGAGCUUAACUCCGGAACUGCCAUUGAUACUGCUUAGCUUGAAUCAACUUGAGGUGGAUGGAAUAUUACAUGUAGCGGUGAAAUGCUUAGAUAUGUAAUAGAACACCGAUUGCGAAGGCAGUUCACUAGGGUUGUAUUGACACUGAGGCACGAAAGCGUGGGGAUCAAACA
rnacentral:rRNA from 1 species